rnacentral:misc_RNA from 1 species
AGCAGCCGAGGUAAUUCCAGCUCCAAUAGCGUAUAUUAAAGUUGUUGCAGUUAAAAAGCUCGUAGUUGAAUUUCGGGAUCAAUGCGUCGGUCGUGCCUUCGGUACGUACUAGCGUCAUUGAUUCCUCCCUUCUGAAGAACCGUGAUGUCAUUAAUUUGGUGUUACGGGAAAUCAGGACUGUUACCUUGAAAAAUUAGAGUGUUUAAAGCAGGCUAACGCUUGAAUACAUUAGCAUGGAAUAAUGAAAUAGGACGUUCGAACCUAUUUUGUUGGUUUCUAGGAUCGACGUAAUGAUUAAUAGGGAUAGUUGGGGGCAUUAGUAUUCAAUUGUCAGAGGUGAAAUUCUUGGAUUUAUUGAAGACUAACUACUGCGAAAGCAUUUGCCAAGGAUGUUUUCAUUAAUCAAGAACGAAAGUUAGGGGAUCGAAGACGAUCAGAUACCGUCGUAGUCUUAACCAUAAACUAUGCCGACUAGGGAUCGGAUGAUGUUAAUUUAUAAUGACUNAUUCGGCGCCUUACG